GCGGGAUUAGUUGAGCGGUUCAACGUGACCUUCCCAAGGUUAAAAGACGGGUUCGACUCCCGUAUCCCGCU
rnacentral:tRNA from 1 species